rfam:Stegodyphus mimosarum contig107369, whole genome shotgun sequence.
GCCUUCGUGGUGUAAUGGUCAGCACACUGAGCCGGUAUUUCAGAUGUCCGCGGUUCGAUCCCCGGCGAAGGCA